UAAAACCAGCACCUCAAGUGGUCAGGAUGAUUAUUGGGCCUAAAGCAUCCGUAGCCUGCUUUGUAAGUUUUCGGUUAAAUCCAUGUGCUCAACGCAUGGGCUGCCGAAAAUACUGCAUAGCUAGGGAGUGGGAGAGGUAGACGGUACUCAGUAGGUAGGGGUAAAAUCCUUUGAUCUAUUGAUGACCACCUGUGGCGAAGGCGGUCUACCAGAACACGUUCGACGGUGAGGGAUGAAAGCUGGGGGAGCAAACCGGAUUAGAUACCCGGGUAGUCCCAGCUGUAAACGAUGCAGACUCGAUGAUGUAUUGGCAUAAUAGCCAUUGCAGUGUCGCAGGGAAGCCGUUAAGUCUGCCGCCUGGGAAGUACGUACGCAAGUAUG
rnacentral:rRNA from 1 species